rnacentral:lncRNA from 1 species
GUCAAGUAUGUGACUCAAAGAAAUCCCUGAGAGCGGGGUGGACUAUUUUGAAAGCGAAGUACAAAGAAAUGGCCGUGUAAUUCAGAAGUUGACACUGAGUUCAAGGCAACCACUUUCCAAACUACCCUCCCUGGCUGCUUCUUGAAGUUGUGGGUCUGUUCUGGCCAGUGACUUUUGAUGAGAAAGUCUCUGAAUACGAUUUUCUCUCCUUAAGGUAUGUUUACAAAAGGGCAUCCACUGUUGUCUUCUAAUAUCGUUCAAGCAUAGUGAGAGGCUUCCCUGCCAGCCAUUGUGUGAUGGUGACAGUAAAAAACCAAGACCUCCAGGGGUGGGAGAGGAAAGCAGCUGGUUUUCUCAUAAUAUAUGUGCCCGGGUAACUCUGAGAGAUCAUACGUGCUAAACAUCUUCUCGUUUGUUUGUGUUUUUAAAAUAUGUACGAGGGAUUUGUCUACAAGUAUGUCUGUGUACCAUGUGCAUGCCUGGUGCCUUCAACAGCCAGAGAAGAGCUUAGAUCCCCUAGAACUGGAGUCACAGAUUGUUCGGAGCUGCGAUGUGGGUGGUGGGACUCGGCCCAGGUUCUCUGGAAGAGCAGCCAGUGCUCUCAGCCACGGAGGCAUCUACUCAUCGCCUGCAUCUGUAUUGAAGAGAAAAUGGGAGGUGAAGGCUAGUGCCAUGCACUGUCCUCUCUGUGUCAUGUGGUCAUGAUCACCAACACCCAGGCACCUGUGUUGUGUACUUUUGGAACCAGGAUGAGAAAUGAAGCUGAAUGUACUUACCCACUGGAAUUUCUACACACACUGUAGGGAUGGUCUGUCUCUUUCCUAAAUUCCCUCUCACGGCAAGGAUCAGCUAGUCUCCUCUGCACCUUCUUCACGGAGGCUGUGCAGAAUGAAGAGUUCUGCUCUUGGGAAUCCAUCCUUCAGGGAGCUUCUGGAAGGAGCACUGUUGGUUGCCACAUCCUCUGGAAGAUAUGACUGCUUUUUUCCCUUUUGAAGACGACUGAGAUUCAGCUAUGGGAAGUCUGUCCCUGCCGUCGGUAUUUCAGCGGCAUCACGGUGGAAUCGUGUGACUGAGAGAAGCCACCAUUUACACUGUCUACACCUACUAGGGUUGCCACGGUGGGAUGGAGACGCACCCGAUGAAGGUGACUCUGCUCAGAGGCCCGGGAUGAGGGCGUUAGAACUAGAGUCGAGCCUGUAAAUGACUGACUGGGCAGUUUACAAAUGGUUGGUACAUCUGACAACAGUCACUGAGUCCACACAAGGAAAAGCUCUGAAGCCGCGGCUGGCCUCUGUGGUGGCUCCCUGCGGGCUAGCCACGUACACUGCCUGCAAAGGGGCUUUGACCUUUCCUGCGUCAUUCAAGCUGUUCACUCUAAAGCGAAAGACCUGAAAUUGAAGGGCUGAAGCGCCUCCAUGCUGAACUUUGACACCCAGAGUGCAGCAUGCUGGGAAGAAAGACAAAGGACAUCGUUAUCGUUAUCAGCAGUGAGGAAGCUGGUGCCUCUUGGCCUCCUCACCAUGGCUGAUAAAGCCUCCCUCCGUCAGGGAAUUGAAAGCCCAGUCAAUACCUCUGAUUUGCAUGUGGAAUAUUGGCAAAAGCCUGAAGCUUCAGCUUGGAUCUGAUUCUUCAUGAACG